rnacentral:lncRNA from 1 species
AGUUUAGAGUUAAGGGGUGGGUUUAGGAUUUAGGGUUUAGGGUUUAGGGUUUAGGGUUUAGGGUUUGGAGUUUAGAGGUGGGGUUUAGGGUUUGGAGUUAAAGGGAGGGGUUUAGGAUUUAGGGUUUAGGAUUUAGGGUUUAGAGUUUAGGGUUUAGGGUUUAGGGUUUAGGUUUUAGGGUUUAGAGUUGGGGAGUGGGGUUUUGGGAUAAGAUUUCAAAUUUUGAAAAAAAAAAAAAAAAAAUUCAAAAGAUAAAAUGCUAUUUUGGUCAUUUUAGUUUUUGAGUGGUAUUUUUGUGACAUAAACUUAGAAAUGUGUUAUUUUGGAGAUUUGCCAUAUUUUCAAAAGAAUAUUAGUCAUUAAAAUCAUAAAUUAAUAUAAGAUAAACAUAAUUAUGAGAAAAGGUAACAUACAUUUAAACUAACCAUUUUUACCCUCACUUUUGAUUAAAGUAUAUAUGUAGACUUUUACCCUCACUUUUAAUGAAAGGUAAAAUACAUUUAUACCCCUAGGGAUAACUAAUCUAGACUUAGGGUUUAGGGUUGAGGAGUUUUUAGAAGGGAAAUUGCCAAAAAUACAAUUUUUAAAGUACAACUUUUCAUGUUUACACUAACCACUUUUACCCUCAUCUUUAAUGAAGGGUAAAAAAACAUUUAUAACGUUUUGAAUAACUUUGAAAAAAAAAACAUAUAGUUAACUAAUUUAAACUUAAAACAUCAACUCUAAACCCUAAAUCAUCAACUCUAAACCCUAAACCAUGAAACAUCAACUGUAAACCCUAAACCCUGAAACAUCAACUUUAAACCCUAAAUCCUAAAUCCUAAACCUUCAAAUCUAAACCCUAAACUUUCAAAUCUAAACCCUAAAUGUAAACCUUAAACCAUAAAUCUAACUUAAAACAUCAACUUUAAACCCUAAAUCAUCAACUCAAAACCCAAAACCCCGAGACAUCAACUUUAAACCCUAAACUUUAAACCUUCAAAUCUAAAACCUAAAACAAACUCUAAACGUAAACCCAAAACCCUAAACCCUAUAUUUUUCUGAAAUUCACACCCUAAACCCUAAACCUUCAAAUCUAAACCCUAAAACAUAAACUCUAGGGUUUUAGAGUUUAUGGUUUAGAGUUUAGCGCUUAGGAUUUAGGGUUUAGAGCUUAGGGUUUAGGGUUUAGAGUUGAUGUUUUAGGAUUUAGGGUUAAUUUUUUAGGGUUUAGGGUUUAGAGUUUACUUCUUAGGGCUUAGGGUUUAGUGUUGAUGGUUUAGGGUUUAGAGUUGAUGUUUAGGGUUUAGGGUUUAGAGUUGAUGUUUUAGGGUUUAGAGUUGAAGGUUUAGGGUUUAGGGUUUAGAGUUGAUGUUUCGGGUUUAGGGUUUAGAGUUGAUGUUUCAGGGUUUAGGGUUCGUAUUUAAAAAAAAAAAGGGUUUAGGAUUGAUGGUUUAGGGUUUAGGGUUUGUAUUUAAAAAAAAUAGGGUUUAGGAUUGAUGGUUUAGGUUUUAGAGUUGAGUUUUAGGGUUUAGGGUUUGAAUUUCGAGAUAGUAUAAUUUGAAAAAAAAAAAUAAAAAAAUUAUUUCUUACUUUUUAGAUUUUUAUUUAUUUAAUAUAUAAUGAACAAGGGCAUAAGAGUCUUUUGGCAAUUAAUGAAGAACUUAGUUUUGAAAAUGUCUCUUUAGUGGUGGUAAAAAUGAAAAGUGGUAGCAUGAAAGUAGUAAACAUGUAAUUUCCCUUUUAGAAUUUGAAAUUUAGGAUUCUAAUAAAUAUAGAAAUAAAAACUGAAAAAGUAUUUUAAAAAUUAAAAUAUAGGUUCAAACAUAAUUUUCGAUUUCAAAAAGAAAUUUUGAAAAAAAAAAAUUCAAAAAGAAAUUCAAAAAAUUAAUUUAUAAAAAAGUUCUAAUUUGAAAAAGUAUAAUUCGAAAACAUAAAAAGAAAUAUAUAUAUAUAUAUAUUUUUUUUUUUUAUUAUUCAUGUAUAUAAUUAUUUAUUAUAUAUAGAUAACAAGAGUAUAAGAGUCUUUUGCCUUUUAAUGUAAAAAAUAUUUUUAAAAAUGUCAAUUUUGUGGUGUUAAAGAUAAAUAAUGAAAGUGGUAAACAUGAAUUUUCUCCAUAAUUAUGAUAAUAUCAGUAGAUAUUGUUAAUAUCAAUUGUUAAUAUCCAUUUAUUAAUUAAAUGUUUUAAAUAUCAAGAUAAUUAUAGAGAAAUUGCCAAAUAUACCAUUUUUAAAGUACUUUUUUCCAUGUUUACACUAACCACUUUUAUCUUCAUCUUUAAUGAAGAGUAAAAUACAUUUAUAACAUUUUGAUUAACUUUGACAAAAAAAAACAUAUGAUUAACUAAUCCAAAACCUAAAACAUCAACUCUAAACCCUAAAUCAUCAACUCUAAACCCUAAACCCCGAAACAUCGACUCUAAACCCCAAAACAUCAACUCUAAACCUAAACCCUAAACCCUAAACCUUCAAAUCUAAACACUAAAACAUCAACUCUAACCCCUAAACGUAAACCCUAAACCCUAAAUCUGAAUUUAAAACAUCAACUUUAAACUCAAGAUCAUCAACUCUAAACCCUAAACGAUGAAACAUCAACACUAAACCCUAAACACUAAAACAUCAACUCUAACCCCUAAACGUAAACCCUAAACCCUAAAUCUGAAUUUAAAACAUCAACUUUAAACUCAAGAUCAUCAACUCUAAACCCUAAACGAUGAAACAUCAACACUAAACCCUAAACCCUGAAACAUCAACUCUAAACCCUAAACCCUAAACCUUCAAAUCUAAACCCUAAAACAUCAACUCUAAACCAUAAACUCUAUAUUUUUCAAAAAUUUGAACCCUAAACCCUAAAACCCUAAACCUUCAAAUCUAAACCCAUAACAUCAACUAUAAACCCUAAACGUAAACCCUAAACCCUAAACCUUCAAAUCUAAACCCUAAAACAUCAACUCUAGUUUUAUGGUUUAGGGUUUAGGGUUUAGGAUUUAAGGUUUAGGGUUUAGAGUUGAAGGUUUAUGGUUUAGAGUUGAUGUUUUAGGGUUUAACGUCAAUUUUUUAGGGUUUGGGGUUUAGAGAUUACUUUUAGGGUUUAGGGUUUAGUGUUGAUAGUUUAGGGUUUAGUAUUGAUGGUUUAGGGUUUAGAGUUGAAAUUUAGGGUUUAGGGUUUAGAGUUGAUGUUUUAGGGUUUAGAGUUGAAGGUUUAGGGUUUAUAGUUUAGAGUUGAUGUUUCGGGGUUUAGAGUUUAGAGUUCAUGUUUCGAGGUUUAGGGUUUGUAUUUAAAAAAAAAAUAAGGUUUAGGAUUGAUGGUUUAGGGUUCA